UACGUAGGGCGCAAGCGUUGUCCGGAAUUAUUGGGCGUAAAGAGCUCGUAGGCGGCUUGUCACGUCGGAUGUGAAAGCCCGGGGCUUAACCCCGGGUCUGCAUUCGAUACGGGCUAGCUAGAGUGUGGUAGGGGAGAUCGGAAUUCCUGGUGUAGCGGUGAAAUGCGUAGAUAUUGGGAGGAACACCAGUGGCGAAGGCGGCUACCUGGACCGGUUCUGACGCUGAGGCGCGAAAGCGUGGGGAGCAAACAGG
rnacentral:rRNA from 1 species